rnacentral:precursor_RNA from 10 species
GUCGAUGCAAUAUACGAAAAACUCGACGCAUGAGUUGGUUAUUCAAUCUUGCGAUAUUUAACAGUAGCAAGAUUGGUAACCAACACUAACGUCGUUUUUUACAAUCAUUCUUUUUAGUC